rnacentral:tRNA from 1 species
UUUUGUAGUUGAAAAAACAACGAUGGUUUUUCAUAUC